UUCCGAAGCCCCGCCCCCGACGGCCAUGUCUAUUCUACGGCCCGGCUCUGCUCCUGGCCCAGGCGCCCGUGUCCGGUGCGGUCCCAUACGAGAUGGGUUCUCUGCCUUCGGUGCGUGUCGGCGCCUCUGCCAAGGCGGAGCGGACGGCGAAAGGUAGACCCAGCGCAUCUCCAGCUUCACGAGACUCACGCGGCCUUCCGUGGGCCGUAAUCGUCUGUCUCCCUCUGUGGCCGAAGUGACACACCGAAGCGAGUAAAAAGCUAAUUCCUAGAACAGUGUGAUGCACCCGGCCCUCCGUUGGCUUCCCGUGCCCUUUGUAGCUAAAUUUGGAAAAUCCUGAGUUUCUCAAAGUCCAAGAACUUUAUAAUGUGCACUGCUAGGCUAAUACCUUUACAACGAAUGCCCCCCAGCUUCCCUGAAUCGGAAUGUGAAAGUGACACACUGAAAACCAAGGCUAAGGGUUCUGUCCUUUCUUUCACGUGUUAAAAUGGUGGCAUCUUUUUAAUGCGCGAGGGAAAACGCAACAACAAUAAUAAAACACUCCUCCCAAAUCCUGAACAUUCAGUUAUGUCCAGAAAAUUGGGAUGAAGAUAGGACUUUGCUUUACCGCUCUGUACUGCGUUCGGGUUUUUUGUUUGUUCGGUUUGUUGUUUGGUUUUUGGUUUAGUUUGGUUCGUUUGUUUUCCAGAAAGGCCGAAAGCCAUCGUGACGUCGAGGCACAAGCUCCACUGUCCUAACAGUAGAGGUCGCAUGGAGUUCGUGAGACGGGCAUUAGCUGCCGCUGGAGCUGUACCCAGCCCACCGUAUUUUCACAAAUUAGCCAGACAAUACGCCUUCUCUUCGCAUCACUACUGGUCCGGGUCAGCCAUAAGAUCCUUCCUGUUAGGGACUUUUCUUUGAACUAAGAUGUAAUUAACGGGAUUCAUUACCCCUUUUAAGUUACCCUUGGUUUCUACGAGGGAUAACAGGUAAUAAGGACAAAGGGAAGUAAUGUAAAUUUUGUCAGUUUUAUUGAUUAUACACCCUCUAGGUGAAUUUUCUGUACCUGCGUUGCACGGUUGGAAGCCUUGUUUCCUGGCCUGCGAGUGCAAGUUUUGCUUUUGUUCUAUUCUUCAGCUUCCUGUGGAGAUUUUCAGAUACAAGCAAACAAAACAUUGCAUAACUCUGUGUGCAGCCCUUACCCGGAUGUGUGCAGCUUUAGGGUGUGCUUGCAGGAGGAACAGGAUAUCCAAAUGACCUCCUUGGAAAACAAUGGUUAAGGAGCACUGGGACUCUGACAGGACCUGGGUUCUCUCCGACCCCUUUAUUCCCCAUGCCCACUGCCCCACAUGUGUGUACACAUGUGCUUCUGCUUGUGAGCACGCAGGAGUUCAUUGUAGAGGGCAUCUCCCUUACCUGUUGUCUCUCUUUGAUUUAAAAAAAAAAAAUCUAUUCUUACAAACCCCUAUAUAUACAUGUUGCCUGACUUAAAGUCAGGUCUGGGUUACUGCCAUCAGUCCCAAUGUUCACAGAAAUGGGAAACGAGAGGGGUGGACCAGUGGGGACAACCUGUAACUUGGACUUCUUAGAUCACUCCUGUCCCUCCCAAGACACCUAGGACUCAUCGGGUCUAAUUUAGUCUAGGAGGUGUGUUUCUAGAUGCAUCCCUGGAGUACAGUGAAUGCAAGCCAAGAAAUAAUUUUUUCUUCCCAAUUUCAUGGUCUCAUCCUGACCUACAGCAGAUAAGUAAGGAUGAUUCCAUUUCUGUAUUCUCUCGAGCCCAUCCCCCUCUCCCUGCCGUAGAGUCGGGAGUACCCUUUUUUUUUUUUCUUCUCAAGACAGGGUUUCUCUGUAUCACCCUGGCUGUCCUGGAACUCACUCUAAAGUACCCUCUUAAUUAACCAUGCUUAGAGAGGAAUAAAAGGACAAGACCAGAGUUUCAGCUACCUUGGAUUCUGCACCGACUCAGGAUCACAGUCAGUUUGUGUGAGGUCACCAGUUUAUACCAAACAGGUUUCAAGGGGCCACGGACAGAACUGUCUUGGUCAGAAUCAGCUGAGUCUUGCAGACAUGAUUCUACUCCAGACCGUUUUGUCUCUAGAAGAGAAACUUGCAAACAUUCUGCCUUCCUUUUCUUUUCUUUGGGAAAGUAAAUGCUGUGUUAGAAGUUUGGACCAGAAUUCUCGGACUUCACCAUCUAUGGAUGCUUCGCUUUUGAUGUGUUUGCCUGUUUAUAAUCUAUUUUAUUUAUUUUGGAAGAUUUUCAUUAAUAAAAAGUAAUGAAGACA
rnacentral:lncRNA from 1 species